rnacentral:other from 1 species
ACGGUUAUAAAUCAACAUAUUGAUUUAUAAGCAUGGAAAUCCCCUGAGUGAAACCACGAAUUGCUGUGUGUAGUCUUUGCCCAUCUCCCACGAUGGGCUUUUUUUUAA